rnacentral:lncRNA from 1 species
UUGUAUUCAUGUUUGAAUAUGUGUUGGACACAUGAAAUUGAACGAAAAUGAAGGGUCCAACUCCAAAUAACUUAGCAUGUACUCACGUUUGAAAGUAAUUUUAGAACAAAGUAGAUUAUUUACAGUUUAUAUUAAAGAUGAAUUAACGCGAACAAGUAAAAAAUUCAGAAAGGAAAUAAAAUGACAAUUGAAUGAUGUGUUUUGAACUAUCAUUACUGAUGGAUAGGAGUGUUACACUAAUCACCAUCUCUAGUUCUCCACUUGGGGAGACUUAUAUCAGCUCUCUAAGGCAAAAAGGAUGGAGAAAAAAAUGUUUACAUGUAUUAGUGAUGUUUGCUUUACAAAAUUGUAUUGCCUGAUUUGUGUUAAUCAUCUCACAAUUAUUACAAGCGAGAGGUAACUUCGAGAAAGGUGUCUUCAUUGCAGGGAAUCGUGAGACCGCCAGUAGGAUGACUAUAUCCGAACUCUUCUUGUGACAUGCCUAGCAAAUCUUGAAAAGAAGGCUGGUUUAAGAACGACACCGGUAUCACGAACCUCUUCUGGUUUUCUCCAACAUAUACUGCAAAGUAGCCCUUGGGAACCUUCUUAGAGUUAAUGAUACGAGGCAGGCGGAAAGCCAUUGUUGUUUUUGAUAGAUGUAUGCUUCAAAACGGAAGAGGAGGAAGAUCUCAGAGAACUUGGAAAUCUAAGGUAAAGAAGUUUAGUACUUGAGAAUGUGAAAGUAGGUGUUGCCAAUGAACUUAAUCUUACUUGUAUACAUAGAUGCAAGGGGCCAAAGGAAAUGUUUCUCUAUUAAGUGGAGGAUGAGGAAUGAGUGGUGAAGGGACAAUUGCUGGGGUCUGAUCAUUAAUGAGAUAGACAUUGGUUAGUGGGGCAUCACGUGGUGUUGUUUUCCAAAGCAUUAUAAAGAAUUCCAUGGCAAAGACUUGAAAGAAUAAUUUGCCUACCCUUUCCGGCAGAACAAACCGACCAAGGUCCCACUUGAAUAUGGACCUUAAAAACCUUCUUCACGGCCGACCAAGGUCCCACUUGAAUAUGGACCUUAAAAACCUUCUUCACGGUAGAAGAUUCUUAUUACUUCAUCAUUUACAUUAGAGGCAACCUUUAGAGACAAACAAUCUGUCAUGCUGAAUUCAGUCAAAAAAUGUGCCCUACAUGCUACAACUAGUCCCCAGGCUGUUGGUUAUGCUGUGCUGUAAUCAAAUAGUUCCACGGGGGAGAAAGAAAAUACUAAACCUGACAGCUGACGGAAUUUCCGGUAUGUGUUGCUAUAUAUGGAUAACCUUAGAGAUGAAUCUGUUUCCGUUCCACAUUUUUCUUGGCAUGUAAAUUCAUGUUUCUUUGCAUAUAUUGACUAUUCAUUAUUAUGUAUAAUGUGUUGAAGGACAGAUUUGAUAGCAUCAACCAUUAAGCUCAAGUCAUUUUGUUUAUUUAGUUUUUUCUUUUUUUGUAUCGAUGAGCUUUUUCAUAGUAUAAGAUUGAUAUUGUUUCACCAUUGAUGUUAGAGGCAAGCUUGAGACAUGUAAUCUGUUAUACCAUGACCAGAAACAUAUAAAUUUGGGCUACCUUGACCUUCUGUGUUGACUUGAAAAAGAAAAUGAAAAUAAACUAAGGGGCAUGAAUAUAUCUUUUUUGACACUGUUUUUCAAGGUCAAAAUCUUAGCAAUAACAUACAUGAAGGUAUAUUUGUUACGUGCAUAUAUUUACUUAUUAUUGAUUAUUAAAGUCUCAUUCUCACCCCCUUUUUUCAUCUUACCUAUGUAGCUGACAAAUUGGGGGUAAAGGAUAAGGUAUCAGAACAAAAGGAAAUUUGUUGUAAAUUGUAAUGUUGGUACAGGUACUCUGAACCCAUAAUUCUCAUGUCACUGAAAAAAUCGUAAUGGCAGGAUACGCAUCUCUAAGGCUUCUCAAUAGCUAAGGCAUGAAAAUAUGUAUUAGACUGUAGGAAACACCCUUCAACUAGUAUAUAUAGAGAAAAUAUGUCGCAUGGACUUGCUUACAGAAAGUGAACAAAGCUGGUCUGAACUUUCCAUGUUACUUUAUAAUAUCUUGAGAUUUAAGAUCACCACUUCACAACGCAAAUCAGUGGCUGUCCCACCCUGAACUGAUAUUUGUUUGCAGGAGCUGUCCGUAAUGCAAUAUGCCAGGUAUCGAUGGUUAAAUUGUAGGGGCAACUCUGUGGACUAGUCUACAUUAUCAAAAGUUCCACUGUCAAAUUCCUGUUUAUCUUCAUUACCUCCAGACACCAAAACAAGCAAGUUGAUCAGCUCAUGUGAUGCUGUUGCUUGACACAUCCUAAAGGAGAGUGAUGGUAAAAAUCGGGGACUAAUCUGACAAUACAGUAUAUUUAAUGGGUACAUUAAGCUAAAUAAUAUGCGACUUUUUUCCUUAAAAUGAUCAAAUCCACCACAAAUUGUCAAAGAUAAAAGGAAAUUUAACAUUUCAUUGUAUCAGCCAACUUAGAAACUUUUAUAGGUAAAAGCAUACCAUUUAAUGAAAUAACAUGGUCCCUUACCUCAGAUCUUUAUAUAUCUUAAUCAAUUGUCAAAGCUGGUUAAGCAAAUUUGUUAUGAAAAUUAUGAAACUAAAUACAUGUAGUUUAUAUAUUAUGCAGAUUUGAGGGUGAAUGUUGGAGGAUUAUAAUCUCGUACUUACAUCUGAAUAUGUGUUGGAUAUAGGUGUUAGAACAGAUAUUUUAAGAAAAAUGAAGAGUUUAUAUUAAUUAGCUUGUAUGUUGAAGUAAUUUGUGAACAAUGUAAAUCAUUUACAAUUAAAUUAUAUAUGAAACCAACAAUAAAAAGGGGACCAUAGGAAAUUAUAACAAGAAAUAAAAUUUCAAUUGAAUGAUGUGUUCCAAACUGUUACAGAAGCCACCAUCUCUACUAUUCCACUUAGGGGGACUUAUUAUCUGCUCCCCAAGGCAAAAAGGAUGGGAAAAAAGUGUAAAUGGUGUUAGUGAUGUUUGCUUUACAGAAAUGUAUGAGCUGAUUUGACAUAAUUCAAGCGAGAGGUAACAUCAAGAAAGAUAUCUUCGUUGCAGGGAAUUGUGAGACCGCCAGUAGGAUGACUAUAUCCGAACUCUUCUUGUGACAUGCCUAGCAAAUCUUGAAAUGAAGGCUGGUUCAAGAAUGAAAUUGGUAUCACAAACCUCUUCUGGUUUUCUCCAACAUAAACCGCAAAGUAGCCCUUGGGAACUUUCUUAGAGCUAAUGAUAUGAGGUAGGUGGAUAGCCAUUGCUGUUUUUGAUAGAUUUAUGCUUCUCAAAGGGAAGAAAAGGAAGAACUCAGAUAACUAGGAAAGCAAGCUUGAGAAUGUUGAAGGUAGGAGUUGGCAAUGAACUUAAUCCUACUUGUAUAUAUAGAUGUAUAGGGUAGAGAGGAAAUCAUAUUCUUCUAUUAUUAAGUGGGGGAUGUGCAAUGAGUGGUGAAGGUGCAAUUGCUGGGGUCUGAUCAGUAAUGAGAUGGGCAUGGGCUAAUGGGGACUCACAUGGUGUUGUCUUCCAAGGAAUUAUCAAGAAUUCCAUGUCAAAUACUUGAAUGAAUGGUUUUCCUACCUUGCCGGCAAAAUGAACCGACCAAGGACCUACUCAGAUUUGGAAGAUUUGGAUCCAUUAAUAUAGCUUCUUCCUAAUAGAAUAUUUUUAUUACUUCACUAAUGACAAUAGAGGCAACCUUUAGAGACAUACAAUCUGUCAUGCAAUGAUAGAGAACAAAUAACAUGGAUGACUUUGACCUCCUAUUUCAUACAGACUUCACAUAAAACUUGUAAGACAAACCCUUGUGAAGAGCGCCUGAAGUGUGUCCUACAGGCUACAAAAACUCCUCAUCUGAACCCAACUUGUUGCGUUUUAUCCAGGUUUGUUGUCUAUGCCGUGCUGCAAUCAAAUAGUUCCAUAGGGGUGAAGACAAUUAGUCCACAAUUCUGGUGGCAUGUUUGUUGUGUUCUUAGCAUAUUUUGACUAUUCGUUAUUAUAUUGGGGAGAACAGUUGUCAGGUCAAAGUCAGAAAGCUAUUCAAACUACAACAAAUUUCAAUGAAGGCUUCUUCUGCACAUGGGACUGUGAGACUACCCCUUGGAUGAUCAAAGCCAAACUCCUCUUCCAGCCUGAUUUAUCAAUUCUUAAAAUGAAGGGUGCUUCAAGAAUGAAAUUGGAUGGCCUUUGGUUAUUUAUGAAGCUGCUGUCACCUUUUGGAUAAGCUGCUUUGUGUGAACAAGUGCAGGUACUGACAAACACGCAAGUCUUAUGAACUGAGAAAUGUUGCAAGGGCAGAAUACGUUCAUCUCUAAGGCUCCUGAAUAGCUAAUGCAAAAAAUAUAUAUAUGAAAGAGUUGGUAGCCCUCUUACUCUUAUCUCAAAAUGGUCACAAAUCUAUUUGGUGUUACAUUCAGUCAUUUGUAUGUUUGUUUCCAUACAUGACUGGAGUUUAAAGUAGUUGAAAUUUUCUUGAAUUUAACCAAUGAUGAUUAAUCAUUGUUAGAAUUAUGUGACCUAAAUUCUAAGAGAUUGCUUGCAAGUCAAGUUAAACAAAAAUAUAUUUUCUUUCUAGAAGAUUUAGUAUUUAUUAGUAUAAUAUAUUUAGCAUUUAUUAGUAUAGUUUAUUUGACUUACUAAUUUAGCCUAUAAAUAGGCUCAUUUACAAUCUUAGAAUUAAAGAGACACCCAUUAGAUUAGAACUCAUAACACAUUCAGAGAAUUUUGUGUUUACGUUUGAGGGUUCUUUGUUUUUCGGGUUUUCGGGGUUUAGUUUUUAUCUCCAUCUUUUGUACUCUUCAUUCUUUUGCCAUUAUAGUAAAAUUAUCUUUGCCCGUGGUUUUUUAUCCUCUUUUGAGGGGUUUUUCCACGUUAAAUUUGUGUGUUCAUCUUCUCAAUUUCUUCUACUAUUUUUACUUGUUCGUUGCUUAAUCGGGAUGAUCCUAACAAGUGAUAUCAGAGCUAGUUUAACUUUCAUAGAUCAGCCCGGUCAGAGAUGGCAGCAACAAGGUUUGAAAUUGAGAAGUUCGAUGGUGAGACAAAUUUCAAUCUGUGGCAAGUUCGGAUGAUGGCAAUUCUAGUUCAAAAUGGCUUGAAAAAGGUUGUUACAGGGAAAAAGCCUGAGAAUCUAAAUCAAACAGAAUGGGAAGAGCUUGAUGAAAAGGCCUUGUCUGCAAUCCAGUUGUGCCUCGCGAAUACAGUAUUGCAGGAGGUAUUGAUGGAGAAGACCUCAUUCGCCUUGUGGAAAAGGUUAGAAACUCUUUAUGCGACUAAGUCUCUGGCUAACCGUUUAGUGUUGAAACAACAUCUAUUUACGUUUCGCAUGAACGAAGGUGAGCUUCUUAAAGAUCACAUCAGUCAAUUCAUUACUCUUUUAAAUGAUUUAAAGAACGUUGAGGUUCAUAUUGACGAUGAAGAUCAAGCUAUGCUAUUAUUGUGCUCUUUACCCUCUUAUACAAGUCUUUCAGGGAGACCCUGAUUUAUAGCAGAUAGACAAGCUUCCAUUUUGGUAGCAUCAAAGAAACGAGACAAAAGGUGUCGCUAUUACAAAAAGUUAGGUCACGUCAAAGCAGAUUGUUAUAAACUGCGAAAUAAAAGAGCUGCUGAGAGUAACGAGAAAGAUGUAGCUGGUGCUAAUUUGGUCAAUGAAGGCGGUGAUGAUUUCUUGUUAGUGUCAACGAGCGAUAACUCCAAGCUUACGUCUGAGUGGAUCCUAGAUUCAGGAUGUUCUUUCCACAUGUGUCCCAAUAGAGAAUGGUUCUCCACAUACAGUUCAGUUGAAGGUGGAGUUGUGCACAUGGGAAACGAUUCAUCUAGUAAAAUAAUCGGUAUUGGUACUGUUAAAAUUAGGAUACACGAUGGGACGAUUAGGACACUCUCAGAUGUUAGGUAUGUACCUGAUUUACGAAAGAAUCUCAUCUCCUUGAGUAUUUUAGACUUGAAAGGAUGCAGAAUCAACAUCGAGUCGAGCGACAUUAAAGUAUCUCGUGGAGCUCUCGUUUUGUUAAAAGGUAAAAGAACCGACAGUCUUUAUAUUCUGGAAGGUUCUACAGUGACCGGUGAAAUCAGACGUCCCUCGUCCGUUACGGAGUCAAAGUCAACUCAUUUGAAGUGGAGGCAACUUGGUCAUAGGAGGGAAAAAGGUAUGACUGUUUCGUUGAAGAGAGGUUCUCUUUUGGAUGCAGGUUUUGAAAAGUUAGGGCACUGUAUUCGUGAAAAUCAGACCCGGGUUAGUUUUGAUUUGGCAGUGCACAAGUCGAAGGCUAGAAGUCUUCCAGCUUCUAAGCAUAGAUUCGACUCAGUUAAUUCCCUGCAUAGUUCAAGAUAGGCCCAUGGCGGGUUUUGGCAAAGAUGGCAUUGAAAGAAUUCGUGUCAAGGUGGAGAUUGUUAGAAUUAUGUGACCCAAAUUCUAAGAGAUUGCUUGCAAGUCAAGUUAAACAAAAAUAUAUUUUCUUUCUAGAAGAUUUAGUAUUUAUUAGUAUAAUAUAUUUAGCAUUUAUUAGUAUAGUUUAUUUGACUUACUAAUUUAGCCUAUAAAUAGGCUCAUUUACAAUCUUAGAAUUAAAGAGACACCCAUUAGAUUAGAACUCAUAACACAUUCAGAGAAUUUUGUGUUUACGUUUGAGGGUUUUUUGUUUUUCGGGUUUUCGGGGUUUAGUUUUUAUCUCCAUCUUUUGUACUAUUCAUUCUUUUGCCAUUAUAGUAAAAUUAUCUUUGCCCGUGGUUUUUUAUCCUCUUUUGAGGGGUUUUUCCACGUUAAAUUUGUGUGUUCAUCUUCUCAAUUUCUUCUACUAUUUUUAUUUGUUCGUUGCUUAAUCGGGACGAUCCUAACAACCAUUAAUAUAUAAAACCAAAUAAGUAACAAGAAUGAAGUUUACUUUCUGAUAAUACUAAUCAAUAUGUAUCAUGAACUUAUAUCUCUUUUACUUUUCUCUUUUUCGUUAAAAUAUUUUGUCCUUAGCUUUGUUGUAUUAAUCGCUUAGUCCCCAGCCUCAAAUCUUUAUAUAUCUUAAUUCUUGGGCAAAUCUACAUUAAGAAAAUUACUUUGAAAAUUAUAACACGAAAUUGAUCGUUUAAUAAGCUACUAUCAUGGUAAAGAAUACUUGUAAUCUAUCUUAACUAGACAUUGUACUCAUGUUUGAAUAUGUGUUGGCCAUAUGAAAUCGAACAAAAAUGAAGGGUCCAACUCCAAAUAACUUAGCAUGUACUCACGUUUGAAAGUAAUUUUAGAACAAAGUAGAUUAUUUACAGUUUAUAUUAAAGAUGAAUUAACGCGAACAAGUAAAAAAUUCAGAAAGGAAAUAAAAUGACAAUUGAAUGAUGUGUUUUGAACUAUCAUUACUGAUGGAUAGGAGUGUUACACUAAUCACCAUCUCUAGUUCUCCACCCGGGGAGACUUAUAUCAGCUCUCCAAGGCAAAAAGGAUGGAGAAAAAAAUGUUUACAUGUAUUAGUGAUGUUUACUUUACAAAAUUGUAUCACCUGAUUUGUGUUAAUCAUCUCACAAUUACUACAAGCGAGAGGUAACUUCGAGAAAGGUGUCUUCAUUGCAGGGAAUCGUGAGACCACCAGUAGGAUGACUAUAUCCGAACUCUUCUUGUGACAUGCCUAGCAAAUCUUGAAAUGAAGGCUGGUUUAAGAACGACACCGGUAUCACGAACCUCUUCUGGUUUUCUCCAACAUAAACUGCAAAGUAGCCCUUGGGAACCUUCUUAGAGUUA